GCUGGCCUUCCGAGGCAUGUGCACGCCCUGCUCAAUCCACUCUACACCUGUGCACUUACUGUGGGUUUCGGCGGCUUCGCAGACCUCAAGGUUUGCGUGGCUUACCCGUGCCUACGUUUUUCUACAAACUCUUAAAAGUAACAGAAUGUGUAUCGCGAUGUAACGCAUCUAUAU
rnacentral:misc_RNA from 1 species